rnacentral:rRNA from 1 species
UACGGAGGGUGCAAGCGUUGUCCGGAAUUAUUGGGCGUAAAGAGCUCGUAGGCGGCUUGUCGCGUCGGCUGUGAAAACCUGGGGCUCAACCCCGGGCCUGCAGCCGAUACGGGCAAGCUAGAGUUCGGUAGGGGAGACUGGAAUUCCUGGUGUAGCGGUGAAAUGCGCAGAUAUCAGGAGGAACACCGGUGGCGAAGGCGGGUCUCUGGGCCGAAAUUGACGCUGAGGAGCGAAAGCGUGGGGAGCAAACAGG